CAAAGUGUGUGAAUGUUGUGGCCAAGCUUUGUUCAGAAGGAAAGGUUUGGACAAAAGGCUCCUUCCCUUCCCCCUGUGACCAGGAAAAGAAUCAAUAACAAAGGUAAGUAAGAGAUAUUUUGGUGUCUCCUGUAUGUCCAGCCUCAGAUCUGUUAGCAUCAGAGGUUUUUCUUCCUUCAUUCACACCCUCUGGCUGGCAAAUUGGCAUGCAUCACUGCUGCAGGGGAGCAAGCAGCUCCUAAUGCUGUGGGGACCUGAGUACAGUAGCUGGGAUUCUCUGGGGCCUUCACUCACACGCAGCUGCAGCCAUGGGUGGGUAAAAGCCAUUUCACACAGGUGGCAAAGACAGGAGAGAUCUCAGAGUGCUCCCAGCUGUGUGUCUGUUAUCAGGCCCAUCAGACCCCAGUGUGGGACCACAAUGUGUUAAACACCAGCUGGACAAUAGCAGCCAAGGCCUUGCCAUGAAAUCACCCUCGGGGACCAGCCUCAGUGAGGCCAUUACUUUCUGGAAAGAUUUCCUUUCCUGAAGUGCUUUCAAGGGAAAGAUCUGGUGGCAUUCCCCAGAAGCCACUGGGUCAGCAAGUGUGAAGUUUGGAGAGACAAAGUUUAUCUCCUCUCCAGAGAAACCCCUGGUAAACAAGGUGUUGUGCAGGGGAAAAGCUCCACAAAAGGAUGCAGAGAGCACAUGGAGGGGGAAAGGCAGCAAAGAAACAGCUGAGAGCAUAAGCAAGUCCAAAGGUUUGGCUCAAGUCCUCAGCAACAUUGCUCUUGCUUAAUGUGAAACUUGGAAGCAACCCUGGGUAAACAAGCCAGGCUAAUAUUCUGCAGGCUGAUCAGAACUACUUGAAGGAGAAGGUGCCAUGUUACACAGUCAGCUACUGCUUGCUUCUCUGCAUAAGCUCAGAGCUUCUCCAGGUUGGGGGAAGAACAGCGAUGGAGAAGCUUGACUACCAGCAUUUAAAAUUACCCUCUGUGUGUGCUUCGAAUCCUUUUGAAGGAUUCGCUUUCUGAAGGGGUAGGCUAGGUUUGCUUUCUGAAAUCAUAGAUACCCAAAAAAGUGUGUAGAGGCGUGUCAACUGAGCCAUACCUGACUUGCUUCUAUUUUGCCAGGUGUAGACAGAGUUUAGCUGUGCUUUUCAAGCAACGUUUUCUUACCCUGUAGGAUUAGUUUCUAGGUAUGAUCAAUCUGGAUAUCAGUAAGACAUGUCUGAACUGCCCAGUGCCUU